rnacentral:lncRNA from 1 species
UCUCAUUCAUUGUGAUAAACCAUUAAUCUCACGUAUGGGUGGCAAAAGCUGAAAUUGUCCAUCCAAAUUACUCCCACUUUUUUGAAAUAGAUUAGGUGGAUUUUCUUAUAUGCAAGUUAGUUUUCUAUCAUUCAAACUAGCACAAUUAUAAGUAGAUGGGCUUGUUUGAGCCCCCGGACCGAAUAGGUGGUAAGGUGUUAACCAGCCAAAAGCUUAGACGAUCUUCUCUCC